rnacentral:ncRNA from 1 species
UAUGGCGGGUGCAGGCGUUCGAGCGAGCAAUCUGGAUAGCUUUCUCAGUGCCGGUAUCCCGGAAGUGCAUAGUUCAGCGGGGCAGCUUAUAGCGUCCCCCAUGCGAUAUCGCAAUACCGGCUUAUCGAUGUCGGCAGACUCCACAGCGGAUGAAUACUCCCGCUACCGUGUGGAUGGCGAUGCCGUCGCGGUGAUGAAAGCGCACAUUGUUCAUCACGCACAGUAAACCGAUUUUACCGCAGCAUCAUGUCGCCCAAUAUGAUGCUUAUUUGUACCAGGCCCCUGCAAUUUCAACAGGGGUCUUUUUU